rnacentral:RNase_P_RNA from 1 species
CAGAAAAGAUAUAACCGUAUCACGGCUUCCUGAUGAAAGGAAAUCGUGAUGAGGAAAGUCCGGGCUCCACCGGAAAAAAUGCCGGGUAAUAACCGGGCGGAAGACGGAAGUUGUAAUCUGAUUGCAUAACCCGUUUUCUGACAGAGAGUGCCACAGAAAAUAUACCGCCUGCUCAGGCAGGUAAGGGUGCAAAGGCGGUUUAAGAGACCACCGCAUGAAUGGCAACAUUCAUGGCAGGGUAAACCUCAUUUGGAGCAAGGCCAAGCAGUAGUUUGAGUUUCCGGCUCGAAGGCUACGGGUAGGCUGCUAAAGUUGAAUGGCAACAUUCAAUUCGGAUAGAUGGUUAUGGAACCUGUUCAGCCGUAUGGCCGUACAGAUUUGACAGAACCCGGCUUAUUUUCUUUUCUGUUUU